CGGAACGUGCCUAGUAGUGGGGGAUAACUACUCGAAAGAGUAGCUAAUACCGCAUGAGAUCUAAGGAUGAAAGCAGGGGACCUUUGGGCCUUGCGCUACUAGAGCGGCUGAUGGCAGAUUAGGUAGUUGGUGGGAUAAGAGCUUACCAAGCCGACGAUCUGUAGCUGGUCUGAGAGGACGACCAGCCACACUGGGACUGAGACACGGCCCAGACUCCUACGGGAGGCAGCAGUGGGGAAUUUUGGACAAUGGGCGAAAGCCUGAUCCAGCAAUGCCGCGUGUAGGAUGAAGGCCCUCGGGUUGUAAACUACUUUUGUACGGAACGAAAAGCUCUCUUCUAAUAAAGGAGAGUGAUGACGGUACCGUAAGAAUAAGCACCGGCUAACUACGUGCCAGCAGCCGCGGUAAUACGUAGGGUGCGAGCGUUAAUCGGAAUUACUGGGCGUAAAGCGUGCGCAGGCGGUUAUGUAAGACAGAGGUGAAAUCCCCGGGCUCAACCUGGGAACGGCCUUUGUGACUGCAUAGCUAGAGUACGGUAGAGGGGGAUGGAAUUCCGCGU
rnacentral:rRNA from 1 species